rnacentral:miRNA from 1 species
UGGCCUAAAAGUUCAUUUGGGUUUUUCCAUAAGAUGUUACAGGAAAACAUGAAUGAACUUUUUGGCCAA